UUUAGGGCCUGACAACAGCCAUGGGUGAUCAUCACGGUGCUCAGCAGCUACUCCGGCUGGGCCCUGUCUGCUGAGGGUUUCCUGCUCAGCAACAACCUGCUCAACAUCGUAGGGGCCCUCAUCGGCUCCUCAGGGGCCAUUCUCUCCUGCGUCGUGUGUGGGGCUAGGCCAUGAACCGUUCCCUUGCCAACGUACAUCAUCCACUGGGUCAGGCAAGCCCAUGGAGAUCAUAGGA
rnacentral:lncRNA from 1 species